CCUACGGGUGGCAGCAGUGAGGAAUAUUGGUCAAUGGACGAAAGUCUGAACCAGCCAAGUCGCGUGAAGGAUGACUGCCCUAUGGGUUGUAAACUUCUUUUAUAAAGGAAUAAAACGAGGCACGUGUGCCUUUUUGCAUGUACUUUAUGAAUAAGGAUCGGCUAACUCCGUGCCAGCAGCCGCGGUAAUACGGAGGGUGCGAGCUUUAUCCGGAUUUAUUGGGUUUAAAGGGAGCGUAGAUGGGUUGUUAAGUCAGUUGUGAAAGUUUGCGGCUCAACCGCAAAAUUGCAAUUGAUACUGGCAGUCUUGAGUACAGUUGAGGUAGGCGGAAUUCGUGGUGUAGCGGUGAAAUGCGUAGAUAUCACGAAGAACCCCGAUUGCGAAGGCAGCUUACUAAACUGUGACUGACAUUGAUGCUCGAAAGUGUGGGGAUCAAACAGGAUUAGAUACCCUUGUAGUC
rnacentral:rRNA from 1 species